rnacentral:rRNA from 1 species
GACGUAGGAUGCAAGCGUUGUCCGGAAUUAUUGGGCGUAAAGAGUUCGUAGGCGGUUAUCUAAGUCUGGGGUUAAAGCCCGAAGCUCAACUUCGGCAUGGCAUUGGAAACUGGAUGGCUAGAGUGUGGUAGAGGUCUCGGGAAUUCCUGGUGUAGCGGUGAAAUGCGUAGAUAUCAGGAGGAACACCGGUGGCGAAAGCGCGAGACUGGGCCAUAACUGACGCUGAGGAACGAAAGCUAGGGGAGCGAAAGGG